rnacentral:rRNA from 1 species
CAGUCGCCGCGGGAAUACGGAGGGAGCUAGCGUUAUUCGGAAUUACUGGGCGUAAAGCGCACGUAGGCGGCUUUGUAAGUUAGAGGUGAAAGCCUGGAGCUCAACUCCAGAAUUGCCUUUAAGACUGCAUCGCUUGAAUCCAGGAGAGGUGAGUGGAAUUCUGAGUGUAGAGGUGAAAUUCGUAGAUAUUCGGAAGAACACCAGUGGCGAAGGCGGCUCACUGGACUGGUAUUGACGCUGAGGUGCGAAAGCGUGGGGAGCAAACAGGAUUAGAUACCCGUGUAGUCCCUGUCUCUUAUAU